CCUACGGGUGGCAGCAGUGAGGAAUAUUGGUCAAUGGACGAGAGUCUGAACCAGCCAAGUAGCGUGAAGGAUGACUGCCCUAUGGGUUGUAAACUUCUUUUAUAUGGGAAUAAAAUGUUCCACGUGUGGGAUUUUGUAUGUACCAUAUGAAUAAGGAUCGGCUAACGCCGUGCCAGCAGCCGCGGUAAUACGGAGGAUCCGAGCGUUAUCCGGAUUUAUUGGGUUUAAAGGGAGCGUAGGUGGAUUGUUAAGUCAGUUGUGAAAGUUUGCGGCUCAACCGGAAAAUUGCAGUUGAAACUGGCAGUCUUGAGUACAGUAGAGGUGGGCGGAAUUCGUGGUGUAGCGGUGAAAUGCUUAGAUAUCACGAAGAACUCCGAUUGCGAAGGCAGUUCACUGGACUGCAACUGACACUGAGGCUCGAAAGUGAGGGUAUCAAACAGGAUUAGAUACCCUAGUAGUC
rnacentral:rRNA from 1 species